rnacentral:lncRNA from 1 species
AAAAACUCUGUAUUACCUGGCACUUGAAAAUAUUGAUUUUUCACUUCAAAAUAAUUCUUUGAAAUGGCCAAAUUUUCCACAAUCAUAUGCAUCAAGUGAAUAGUAAAUUCACUUGAUUUUUAAUUUUUCCACAAUAAAAAUUAUGAUUUGUUAUCAAUAAAUGCUUAAUUUCCAUCCUGUCUGUAAGGAACCAAAGAAAAUUCCAUUUCCCAUAUAAAAAAAAAAUCACCAAUCUAGAAUAAAGCCUUAACAAACAUUUCCAUGGCUUUUCUUUUUUUUUUUCUUCCGGAGUCUUGCUCUGCCAUCAGGCUAGAAUGCAGUGUCGCAAUCUCGGCUCACUGCAACCUCCGCCUCCCGGGUUCAAGCGAUUCUCCUGCCUCAGCCUCCCGAGUAGCUGGGACUACAGGGGCGCGUCAUGGCCCCCAGGUAAUUUUUGUAUUUUUAGUGGAGACAGCGUUUCACCACGUUGGCCAGGAUGGUCUCCAUCUCUUGACCUCGUGAUCUACCCGCCUUGGCCUCCCAUGGUGCUGUGAUAACAGGCGUGAGCCACCGUGCCCUGCCCUCUGUGGGUUUUGAGAAUUCCACCGACCUAGGAUAAAAGACUACCGGAGGCGUAUAUCAACUUUUAUCGUCCUCUUCACCAAACUUCAUGAUUUGCAAUCCAGUCACUCUGGAGAAUAAGCCUAUCAACAUUCUUUUUCUCCCAGUGUCCAGCACUCAGCCAAAUGUUUCAGAGAAAGACAUUUUUUUUGUUUCUUUGAUGUUAAUUCAUUUAUGAUUAUGCUGGAUGACCUAUGCGUGAUAUUAAAGCAACAUUAUGGGGAAUGUCUAACUACAAACAUACAAAAGACGAAUUUGAAAACAGAGAAGAAAGAGAAGACUAUCACCAAAUCCUUAAAUUGUAGGCUUGAUUUUUCCAGUGCCUGUUAUGAAGCUGGACCUGCUUUCCCUUUCAUUACCUGGGUGGAAUAAGGAAAUGCAAGAAAGUUUUGAGGCUAUUUAUAGAAGUAAGUGCUCAAUAAUAAUAACAAUAAUAAUAAUAAUAAUGAGAAGAAGAAGAAGAAGAAAGAAAUUGAAGAGAAAGGAAAAUGAGGAGUGGUUUAAAAAUUGAUACCUUUGCACUUGUUCUAAGUAAACUUGGAUGUUACAGUAAAAUUCAAGUUCAAGAAACACAUUUGGAGCCUGUAACCAAUGCAAGGCUCAGUCCAAUCUUAAUCUGUGCAAGAGUUUUCAGUUGCCUGCACCUAAACACCUGGGAUCUCUAGGUCAGAACUGGCUCAUUUUGCUUCUGCUUCAUAGUGAUAUUGAGGAUAUUGCAUAUUCCACUGAUGAGCCAGUGUUCAAGUCUUGGUAAUGUGAAUAAAUUUGUAUUUGUCAUAUCUUAAGUAUCAGAAAGCAUUUGGUAAUUAAAAUUAUUUUCCAAAAAUGCUCCCAAUUUUCUUCACAUCAAUCAUGUUUAAGAAUGCAUGUCACAAACUCUACAAAAUAAAAUUUUUCUAAAUUCUCUAUUAAGAGAUUAGAAAACGCACAGAGAUUCCAAUCAGUUCUUCUCUUCAUGUCAUGGUCUGCUCACAUUGCUCCAUGAAGGACUCUCUUGUUUUACUUGUUUCCCACUUCACCAAUGCCACUCUUUUUCCUUUUCCUCUCCUUUACUACAAAUGCCUUUUCAAAUUGAUUUGAAAUAUAUCCUUCUGCCUCCCUGAAUAUGUACUUAUCCUUUACAGUGUUGUUUUAUGUGUAUAAGUUUGUAAAUAAUAUAUAUAAUUUGCAGGGACAUGGAGGAAGCUGGAAACCAUCAUUCUCAGCAAACUAACGCAGGAACAGAAAACCAAACACCGCAUGUUCUCACUCAUAAGUGGGAGUUGAACAAUGAGAACACACGGACACGGAGGGGAACAUCACACAUCGGGGCCUGUUAGUGGGUGGGGGGUUAGGGGAGGGAUAGCAUUAGGAGAAAUACCUAAUGUAGAUGGUGGGUUGAUGGAUGCAGCAAACCAUCAUGGCAUGUGCGUACCUAUGUAACAAACCUGCACGUUCUGCACAUGUACCCCAGAACUUACAGUAUAAUAUAUAUAUGUAAACAUAUAUAUUAUAUAUACAAAGUUAUCUUUGUAUAU